UACGUAGGUGCGAGCGUUGUCCGGAAUUAUUGGGCGUAAAGAGCUCGUAGGCGGUGUGUCACGUACGAUCGUGAAAACUUUCAGCUUAACUGUGAGCGUGCGGGCGAUACGGGCAGACUAGAGUACUGCAGGGAGACUGGAAUUCCUGGUGUAGCGGUGGAAUGCGCAGAUAUCAGGAGGAACACCGGUGGCGAAGGCGGGUCUCUGGGCAGUAGCCUGACGCUGAGGCGCGACAGCGUGGGGAGCAAACAGG
rnacentral:rRNA from 1 species